AGAGAAGACGCUCAACACUUCUAAUGGCGGUUGGCAAACAAACUUAAAGGUGCAUUCCCAAAUGAGUGUGAACCGCAUAAUGAAAAUCCAACAGCGCAAAGAGAGACGCCUGUACACGCCUGCAUUGGCCAGAAAUCUGCCAAUGUAUGGAGUCCUGUUUCAAUUCUGGAAAAAUUGGGCUUUUAUGGAAAUGGGGCUCCAUUGCAGGCAAAAAAGGAGUUAAAAAAAAUAAUAGCCGGUAGUCCAUCUGGUGGUACUGCUGGACCCAAAUGGGCUGCCACAAUAAAACCCUUACUCUCCUGCCAUUGAGACAUAAUUUGGGGUUUUUCAGUGUGUUGGCCCAUAUUUUAUUAUCUCUAAGAAGGGAGGUGACUGCACCUGAAUCUCUUCACAAACUUCCCUUCACAAUGUUAAUACAGACGAAUGGCAGUC